UAGCUACAGGCUUAACACAUGCAAGUCGAGGGGAAACGACAUCGAAAGCUUGCUUUUGAUGGGCGUCGACCGGCGCACGGGUGAGUAACGCGUAUCCAACCUGCCCACCACUUGGGGAUAACCUUGCGAAAGUAAGACUAAUACCCAAUGACGUCUCUAGAAGACAUCUGAAAGAGAUUAAAGAUUUAUCGGUGAUGGAUGGGGAUGCGUCUGAUUAGCUUGUUGGCGGGGUAACGGCCCACCAAGGCGACGAUCAGUAGGGGUUCUGAGAGGAAGGUCCCCCACAUUGGAACUGAGACACGGUCCAAACUCCUACGGGAGGCAGCAGUGAGGAAUAUUGGUCAAUGGACGAGAGUCUGAACCAGCCAAGUAGCGUGCAGGAUGACGGCCCUAUGGGUUGUAAACUGCUUUUAUAAGGGAAUAAAGUGAGUCUCGUGAGACUUUUUGCAUGUACCUUAUGAAUAAGGACCGGCUAAUUCCGUGCCAGCAGCCGCGGUAAUACGGAAGGUCCGGGCGUUAUCCGGAUUUAUUGGGUUUAAAGGGAGCGUAGGCCGGAGAUUAAGCGUGUUGUGAAAUGUAGACGCUCAACGUCUGCACUGCAGCGCGAACUGGUUUCCUUGAGUACGCACAAAGUGGGCGGAAUUCGUGGUGUAGCGGUGAAAUGCUUAGAUAUCACGAAGAACUCCGAUUGCGAAGGCAGCUCACUGGAGCGCAACUGACGCUGAAGCUCGAAAGUGCGGGUAUCGAACAGGAUUAGAUACCCUGGUAGUCCGCACGGUAAACGAUGGAUGCCCGCUGUUGGUCUGAAUAGGUCAGCGGCCAAGCGAAAGCAUUAAGCAUCCCACCUGGGGAGUACGCCGGCAACGGUGAAACUCAAAGGAAUUGACGGGGGCCCGCACAAGCGGAGGAACAUGUGGUUUAAUUCGAUGAUACGCGAGGAACCUUACCCGGGCUUGAAUUGCAGAGGAAGGAUUUGGAGACAAUGACGCCCUUCGGGGCCUCUGUGAAGGUGCUGCAUGGUUGUCGUCAGCUCGUGCCGUGAGGUGUCGGCUUAAGUGCCAUAACGAGCGCAACCCCUCUCCUUAGUUGCCAUCAGGUCAAGCUGGGCACUCUGGGGACACUGCCACCGUAAGGUGU
rnacentral:rRNA from 1 species